UGAGUAACACGUGGAUAACCUACCUAUAAGACUGGGAUAACUUCGGGAAACCGGAGCUAAUACCGGAUAAUAUUUUGAACCGCAUGGUUCAAAAGUGAAAGACGGUCUUGCUGUCACUUAUAGAUGGAUCCGCGCUGCAUUAGCUAGUUGGUAAGGUAACGGCUUACCAAGGCAACGAUGCAUAGCCGACCUGAGAGGGUGAUCGGCCACACUGGAACUGAGACACGGUCCAGACUCCUACGGGAGGCAGCAGUAGGGAAUCUUCCGCAAUGGGCGAAAGCCUGACGGAGCAACGCCGCGUGAGUGAUGAAGGUCUUCGGAUCGUAAAACUCUGUUAUUAGGGAAGAACAUAUGUGUAAGUAACUGUGCACAUCUUGACGGUACCUAAUCAGAAAGCCACGGCUAACUACGUGCCAGCAGCCGCGGUAAUACGUAGGUGGCAAGCGUUAUCCGGAAUUAUUGGGCGUAAAGCGCGCGUAGGCGGUUUUUUAAGUCUGAUGUGAAAGCCCACGGCUCAACCGUGGAGGGUCAUUGGAAACUGGAAAACUUGAGUGCAGAAGAGGAAAGUGGAAUUCCAUGUGUAGCGGUGAAAUGCGCAGAGAUAUGGAGGAACACCAGUGGCGAAGGCGACUUUCUGGUCUGUAACUGACGCUGAUGUGCGAAAGCGUGGGGAUCAAACAGGAUUAGAUACCCUGGUAGUCCACGCCGUAAACGAUGAGUGCUAAGUGUUAGGGGGUUUCCGCCCCUUAGUGCUGCAGCUAACGCAUUAAGCACUCCGCCUGGGGAGUACGACCGCAAGGUGAAACUCAAAGGAAUUGACGGG
rnacentral:rRNA from 1 species